ACCAAUUGAAAAGUUGAAUUACGCUUUUAGAUAAUGUAGCUAGUUGGUAGCUUUUCGAGAUUACUUCUUUCAUCUGACGAGCAUUUAACCUUCAGAAUAAUACUUAUGAACUUAGUCGCUGAAUGGAAUAACGUGAUUCAUGAGGAAGGCCACCAAGUGAGCUCUUUGCAUUCAUAAUAUUGAAUCAGCCAUGGUGAGCUUAAGAAGAAGCAAACGCAUGAGACUAUGCACCGAAAGAAGUUCUGUUCUAGCUCCGCUGCCAAGGUUUUGUGACAAGGGAACUGCUCCUCAAAAUUCUACCCAAACAAAACCAGA